rnacentral:lncRNA from 1 species
UGAGAUAGCCAUGUCUUCGUUGAGGUCCCGGACCUCAAGCGUGGCCGUGUUGAAUCGCGCCACGAAGUAUCGAAGCGUCUCAUUCUCCCCCUGUUUGAGGGAGAAAAGGCUGUCCGACGUUCGCGGCGGCUUCCGGCUGGUGCUGAAGUGAGCCACGAAAGAGUGCUCGAGCUACCCGAAGGAGUGGAUACUUCCCGAUCGAAGACCGGAGUACCAGGCCCUGGCAGCCUUGCGGAGUGUGGCGGAGAAGCCGAUGCAAAAGAGAGCGUCGAUUGCCCCUUGGAUCGUCAUGAGAGCUUUGUAGCUCUCAAGGUGGUCGAUUGGGUCGGUGGAGCCGUCGUAUGGCUCCACGUGCGGCAUCUUGAACCGACUUGGGAUCGGUUCG